ACACUUUCUGUUUUACCUCCGGCCGCUCUUUUAACCUUUAUCCUUUCCCUGCCCCCUUUCAGACCCUCUUACUCACCUCCACAGAUGACGUGUAAAAGAGCUCAAAUCAGUGUGUUACCUUUCCUGGGGUUAUUUUCUUUUUAAACUGAGGUUUUGUCCCUUGGUGAGAAAGCUGGGGUACCGCUGAAAAGAAAGCCAGCCUGGGAGCAAGAGACUUGGAUUUAAAUCUUGCAUCUGUACUUUCUAGUUGUGGGGUCUCUGAUGAGUUACUUUAGCUCUCUGAACCUCAGGGUCCUCAUCUAUAAAAUGGAAGAAUGUCCAAUGCUUUGGGAGGCUGAGGUGGGGGGAUCGCUUGAGCCCAGGAGUCCAGGACCAGCCCGGGCAACGUAGCAAGAUCCCAUGUCUAUGAAAAAAACCCACAAAUUAGCUGGGUAUGUUUGUUCCCACCCAUAGUCACAGCUACUUGGGAGGCUGGGGUGGCUCGAUUGCUUGAGCCCAGGCGUCCGAUGCUGGAGUGCAGUGGCGCGAUCUCUGCUCACUGCAAGCUCCGCCCCCCGGGUUCAUGCCAUUCUCCUGCCUCAGCCACCACGCCCAGCCCCUAAAUUCUUUUUUUAUUUGAUUUUUGUUUUGUUUUGUUUUCUUUUCUUUUCCCAGAUGGGGUAUCGCUGUGUUGUCCAGGCUGGAAUGCAGUAGCGAUAUAAUGGCUCACUGCAGCCUCAACCUCCCAAGCUCAAGCAAUCCUCUUGCCUCAGCUUCCCGAAUAGCUGGGACCACAGGUGUGUGCCACCACACCAGCCAAGAUUUUAUUUUUCUGUAGAGAUGGGGUCUCCGUAUGAUGCCCAGGCUGAUCUCAAACUCCUGGGCUGAAGCAAUCCUCCCACUCAGCCUCCCGAGGUGCUGGGAUUACAGGCUUAAACCAUUGAGCCCAGCCCCCAAACCCCAAGUUGUUAGGGGAAAACUAAACACCUAGUGAGACUGCAACAAAAUGAGAACCAGAAAUGUGGGUGUCCGAUAAUAGCAGGUUAGUCACCAUAAGGAGAGGAAAAGCACAUUAUAUGCAGUUGACUAUAAGCACAUUUUUGGGAAACCUAUACAUGGAUACAAGAUAAUAUUUACAAAAGCAAUCACAAAUAUAAAGUCUCCAAGAUAAGUCGUUGUGGUGUUAUGAUCUGUAUUGAUUUUCAUCCACAGUUCCUGGUUCAUAAUCCCAUAGCCCUAGUUACAGUGUUUUAUUAUAAUGUUGGGUGAGUUGGGUCUCAGGAAACAAACUCUCCUGACCUCGUUUCACUUACUUCAAGGAAGAACUCUAAUCUUCCCCCAUCUUUUGGACUGUGGGUUUUAAGACCCUCCCCAGAAAGGGUCCUGUCCUAUAUCAUGGAGGAAGGAAUGCUGACUGACAUCAUUAAGCUUCCAUAAAAACCCAAGAGGACGAGGUUUGGAGAGCUUCCAAGUAGCUGAACAUGUGGAGGUUCCCGGAGGGUAGCGUACCCAGGGAGGGCAUGGAAACCCCGCAUCCCUUCCCUUAUACCUCACCCUACACAUCUCUUCUUCUUUGGUUGGGAGAGGAUGGCCAGUCUUGGGAACUGAGCCCUCACUCUGUGGUAUCUGACACUAUCUCCAGGUAGAUAGUGUUGAAAUUGAAUUGGAGGACACCCAGCUGUUAUCCAUUGCUUGGUGUAUGGGGAAAAUCCCACACAUUUAUUUGGUCACAGAAGUCUUCUGCUGUGUUGGUGACUGUUGUGAUGGUGUGAGAGCAGAAGAAAAACAUGGUUUGAGAGAGGUUUUCCCUGCACAGUUGUCAAGACUUCUUUAAGAAAAUUAUAAAUAAUAUUAAGUGGCAUUAAAGAAAACCUAAAUAUGUGGAGAUGCAUACCAUGUUCAUGGACAGAAAGGCAAUUAUCUUCACAUUGUCCUAAUGCUAUUUCUUUUUUCUUCUUCUUUCUUUUUUUUCUUUUUUUUUUUGAGAGAGAGUCUCACUCUGUUGCCCAGACUGGAGCGCAGUGGUAUGAUCUCAGCUCACUGCAACCUCCACCUCCCGGGUUCAAGAGAUUCUUCUGCCUCAGCCUCCCAAGUAGCUGGGACUACAGUUGUAUGCCACCACACCUGGCUAAUUUUUGUAUUUUUAGUACAGAUGGGGUUUCACCAUAUUGGCUAGGCUGGUCUCAAACUCCUGACCUCAUGAUCCGCCUGCCUCAGCUUCCCAAAGUGCUGGGAUUAUACGUGUGAGCCACUGCACCCAGUGUCCUAAUGCUAUUUCAACCAAAAGCCCCAAGCAGUUUUUCGUAUAAUUUGACAAGCUGAAACUUCAAUUUAUAUGAAGGAGCAAAGGACCAAGGAAGGCUAAGUCUUGCCCAAAGCAGAAUUCUGGGCAGGUACUUGGCCUCCAAAUAUUGAGAUUUACUAUAAACAACCACAAGUAAGAUAGUAUGAAAAUGACAUAGAGAUUGACAAACAAAUGAUGGAACAGAAUGAAGGGCCUCAAAAUGGAUCCACACAGGGAUCCAGAAUACCUGCUUUCUGGUGGAGGAUGCCCUGAAGACUAGUGGGCAAAGAACAAUUUAUUUCAUAAAUAAAGCUGGGACAAUUGGCUAUCCAAAUUGGAAAGACAAUACCCCUUAACACAUAAAAACUCAAUUCUAGGUGGAUCAAAGUCCUAAAUGUGAAAAUAAACCCUUAAAACUCUUAGAAGAAAAUGUAGAAUAUUUUUAUGAUCUCAGGGUAGAGACAGAUUUCUUAAGCAAAAUACAGAAAAUGCAACCACAAAGAAAAAGACUGACAUUUUUUGAAACAGUAAGUAUGUGAUUAAAAAAAACAAAACUGGCACAUUUGAUAAAAUAAUUUCUGUUCAUUAAAAGACAUCAUAGGUCAAGCACAGUGGCUCAUACCUGUAAUCCCAGCACUUUGGGAGGCCUAGGUGGGAGGAUUGCUUGUGGCCAAGAGUUCAAGACCAAUCUAGGCAACAUAGCAACACCCUGUCUCUAUAAAAAAUACAAAUUAGCUGUGUGUGGUGGCAUGCAACCUGUAGUCCUAGCUACUCAGGAGGCUGAAGUGGGAGGAUCACUUGAGCCUGAGAAGUUGAGGCUGCAAUGAGCCAUGAUUACAUCACUGCACUCCAGCCUGGGUGACACAACCAGACUGUCUCUUAAAAAAAAAAUUGUUUUUGUCUGGGCACAGUAGCUCACGCCUGGAAUCCCAGGCUUUGGGAGGCCAAGGCGGGUGGAUCAUCUGAGGUCAGGAGUU
rnacentral:lncRNA from 1 species